CCUACGGGUGGCUGCAGUGGGGAAUAUUGCACAAUGGGGGAAACCCUGAUGCAGCGACGCCGCGUGAGUGAAGAAGUAUUUCGGUAUGUAAAGCUCUAUCAGUAGGGAAGAAAAUGACGGUACCUGAUCAAGAAGCCCCGGCUAACUACGUGCCAGCUGCCGCGGUAAUACGUAGGGGGCGAGCGUUAUCCGGAUUUACUGGGUGUAAAGGGAGCGUAGACGGGAGCACAAGUCUGGAGUGAAAGGGCGGGGCUUAACCGCUGAACUGCCUUUGAAACUGUGCAUCUAGAGUGCAGGAGAGGUAAGUGGAAUUCCUAGUGUAGCGGUGAAAUGCGUAGAUAUUAGGAGGAACACCAGUGGCGAAGGCGGCUUACUGGACUGUAACUGACGUUGAGGCUCGAAAGCGUGGGGAGCAAACAGGAUUAGAUACCCGAGUAGUC
rnacentral:rRNA from 1 species